CCUACGGGAGGCAGCAGUGGGGAAUAUUGCGCAAUGGGCGAAAGCCUGACGCAGCGACGCCGCGUGAGGGAUGAAGGUCUUCGGAUCGUAAACCUCUGUCAGCAGGGAAGAACGGUCACUGUGCUAAUCAGCAGUGAAUUGACGGUACCUGCAAAGGAAGCACAGGCUAACUCCGUGACAGCAGCCGCGGUAAUACGGAGGGUGAGAGCGUUAAUCGGAAUUACUGGGCGUAAAGCGCUCGUAGGCGGUAUGGCAAGUCAAGGGUGAAAUCCCAGGGAUGAACGUGGGAACUGCCUUUGAAAGUGGCAAACUGGAGGUGGUGAGAGGAUAGUGGAAUUCCAGGUGUAGGAGUGAAAUCCGUAGAUAUCUGGAGGAACAGCAGUGGCGAAGGCGACUAUCUGGCACAUAACUGACGCUGAGGAGCGAAAGCGUGGGUAGCAAACAGGAUUAGAUACCCUUGUAGUC
rnacentral:rRNA from 1 species